AUGCCGCCAGGCCCGAGAUGGGCGGACCUGCUACCGGAGCUUGUCUGCCGCAUCGCCGACGGCCUUGACGACCUCAAGUGCUACGCAAGUGCGCGGGGCGUUUGCAAGACAUGGCGUCGCACGCUCGUGCCACCAUCACCGUUGCUGCUCGUUGACCACGACGACGACCCUGCCAAGCGUUGCACCGCCGCUGCCAUCAAGCGCCGUACUACUACGGCCUCAAUCCUCGCGCGUCGCUCCUUCGAGCUCAACGCCAUCCCUUCGGGCCAGACCUGUCUCGGCUGCUGUAGCGGAUGGCUCGCCCUCUCCGUCUGCAUCGACGAUAUUUGUAGCCUGCUCAGCCUCUUCCACCCCAUCACAGCCGCCGAGAUCCUCCUACCCCCGCUUGUCUAUGACAGCCGCCUCGUCUCCAAGAUCGUCUUCGCGCCCAACCCUGCCACUGACGACUUCAUGGCCGCUGUGAUCUGUGACAUCAAUAGGGUUGCCUACGUCACCGCAGGGGCCAGGAGGUGGGCCGUCCUCGACCCCAUUCGCCUCACCAUUGGAGACCAGAUCGCCGACCUCCUCUACCAUGUAAAUGGUAGGGUCUACUGCCUCACUCGGUUUGGAGACGUCCAUGUGCUCCUCUUGCCGCAGCGUUGCCGCCGGGAACCUAUCAUCCUCGAGGGCCCCACAUCAAUAUAUCCUGCGGUGCAUAAUAGACAAAUCAUCCAGAUGCAUGGGAUAGGACCGGAUCUAAAUGCGCCGGCCACCAUUGAGACGUUGUUCUCGUCUGUGGGAAGCAACCUAUCAUUCGAUGACGCCACCGGUUUCGCCCCGCCAUACAACACAAUCUCGAAUUUCACUAGUGUCAAGAACCUAGUGUUCUGCAAUGGUAACCUGUACAAAUCUGGAGGAAUGCGUCCUGCACGGUUACUUUGCAGCUGCCAGAAGGGGGUCGAUGCCGUGUAG
rnacentral:rRNA from 1 species